rnacentral:rRNA from 1 species
CAGCAGCCGCGGUAAUACGAAGGGUGCAAGCGUUACUCGGAAUUACUGGGCGUAAAGCGUGCGUAGGUGGUGGUUUAAGUCCGUUGUGAAAGCCCUGGGCUCAACCUGGGAAUUGCAGUGGAUACUGGGUCACUAGAGUGUGGUAGAGGAUAGUGGAAUUUCCGGUGUAGCAGUGAAAUGCGUAGAGAUCGGAAGGAACAUCUGUGGCGAAGGCGACUAUCUGGGCCAACACUGACACUGAGGCACGAAAGCGUGGGGAGCAAACAGGAUUAGAUACCCCGUAGUCCCUGUCUCUUAUCCA